rnacentral:rRNA from 1 species
CCUACGGGAGGCAGCAGUGAGGAAUAUUGGUCAAUGGACGAGAGUCUGAACCAGCCAAGUAGCGUGAAGGAUGACUGCCCUAUGGGUUGUAAACUUCUGUUAUAUGGGAAUAAAAUGUUCCACGUGUGGGAUUUUGUAUGUACCAUAUGAAUAAGGAUCGGCUAACUUCGUGCCAGCAGCCGCGGUAAGACGGAGGAUUCGAGCGUUAACCGGAUUUAUUGGGUUUAAAGGGAGCGUAGGUUGGUUGGUAAGUCAGGUGUGAAAGUUUGCGGCUCAACCGUAAAAAUGCAGUUGAAACUGGGAGUCUUGAGUAAAGUAGGGGUGGGCGGAAUUCGUGGGGUAGCGGUGAAAUGCUUAGAUA